rnacentral:lncRNA from 1 species
CCUAAUUGCAGUAAAAUGAGCUGUCCCUUUAAAAGGGGGAAAAAAAACAUCCUUUCUACUUUGCAGUUCAAGUCAUUACUGCCAAAAGGAGCUUCCAAUCCUAACCUGCUGUGCCACAGAGUCAUUCCAUGAGGGAUUCAGCGGGUAUUUUGUUUGCUUACGAUUUUGUUACCUUUAGUUAGUAUUUCUGGGAUUAGGAUGACAAUUUUCACAGGAUUUUAAAGCAAGAUUAUCAAGCCUAUCUACUCAAAGUCUUUCACUAAGUGGUUAUUAAGACCUGGCAAUAGCCUCCAGUUUUAUAUAGGCUUUGAAGAUAAUCAUCUUUGUCAAGAGAAGUUGGACCGGGUGUAUCAUGGUGUGCUUAAAAUGAGAGGUGACCUUUAGAUGGUGAGACUGAACAAAAGCGUUGUAUGUGGAGAAGCUCAGCUGUGGUGGUGAGCCUUGAGGAGCAGCUCAGCCAGGAGGACAACAGCGAGCUGCAGGUUCAGCCCCACUCUUCAGUACAUGGUAUGCAGAAACUGUGGAUGAACAUACAUUUGGG